rnacentral:rRNA from 1 species
AACGAACGCUGGCGGCAUGCCUAACACAUGCAAGUCGAACGAGACCUUCGGGUCUAGUGGCGCACGGGUGCGUAACGCGUGGGAACCUGCCUUUAGGUUCGGAAUAACUCAGAGAAAUUUGAGCUAAUACCGGAUGAUGUCUUCGGACCAAAGAUUUAUCGCCUUUAGAUGGGCCCGCGUUGGAUUAGCUAGUUGGUGGGGUAAAGGCCUACCAAGGCGACGAUCCAUAGCUGGUCUGAGAGGAUGAUCAGCCACACUGGGACUGAGACACGGCCCAGACUGAUACGGGAGGCGGCAGUGGGGAAUAAUGGACAUUGGGCGAAGGCCGGAACCACCAAUGCGGCGGGAGUGAUUAAGGCUUUAGUGUUGUAAACCUCUUUUACCAAGGAUGUUAGUGACGGACUCGGAAAAAAAGGAUCCGGCAAAUUCGUG